rnacentral:rRNA from 1 species
CCGCUGCCGGAUUUUUGGGCGUAAGCGAGCGCAGGCGGUUCCUUAAGUCUGAUGUGAAAGCCCCCGGCUCAACCGGGGAGGGUCAUUGGAAACUGGGGAACUUGAGUGCAGAAGAGGAAAGUGGAAUUCCAUGUGUAGCGGUGAAAUGCUUAAAUAUAUGGAGGAACACCAUUGGCGAAGGCGACUCUCUGGCCUGUAACUGACGCUAAGGCUCGAAAGCGUGGGUAGCAAACAGGAUUAAAUACCCUGGUAGUCCACGCCGUAAACGAUGAGUGCUAGGUGUUGGAGGGUUUCCGCCCUUCAGUGCUGCAUUUAACACAUUAACCACCCCGCCGGGGGAGUACGACCGCGGGGUUAAAACCAAGGGAAAUGGGGGGG